AGGGCCUUAGAAUUAAGCCAUGCAUGUCUAAGUAUAAGCCUCUAUACGGCGAAACUGCGAAUGGCUCAUUAUAUCACACUAUAGUUUAUUUGAUGGUCAUUCAUUACUUGGAUAACCGCGGUAAUUCUAGAGCUAAUACAUGCACUCAAACCCAACUUCGUGGAAGGGGUGCGUUUAUUAGAUAAAAAACUAACCCAUGCUCCUCCUGGUCUUUUGGUGAUUAAUAAUAUCCGAAUGGAUCCCUUGGCUCCCGCUGGCGAUGAAUCCUCCAAAUUUCUGACCCAUCAACUUCCGACGGUGGGGUAUAGGCCUACCGUGGUUUUGACGGGUAACGGAGAAUUAGGGUUCGAUUCCGGAGAGGGAGCCUGAAAAACGGCUACCACAUCUAAGGAAGGCAGCAGGCGCGCAAAUUACCCAAUCCUGACACGGCGAGGUAGUGACAAAAAAUAACAAUACAGGGCUUCCCUGACUUGCUGUUGGCAUGAUGAGACUUUUAAUCC
rnacentral:rRNA from 1 species